rnacentral:tRNA from 1 species
UCCUCGUUAGUAUAGUGGACAGUAUCUCCGCCUGUCACCGCGGAAGACCGGGGUUCGAUUCCCGGCGGGGAG